rnacentral:tRNA from 1 species
UCCCUGGUGAUCUAGUGGUUAGGAUUUAGCACUUUUACUGUUAUAGCCUGGGUUCAAUUCCUGGUCUGGGAA